rnacentral:rRNA from 1 species
CCUANGGGUGGCAGCAGUCGAGAAUUUUUCACAAUGGGCGAAAGCCUGAUGGAGCGACGCCGCGUGGGGGAUGAAUGGCUUCGGCCCGUAAACCCCUGUCAUUUGCGAACAAACCUUGUUAUUUAAAAGAUGACAAGUUGAUAGUAGCGGAAGAGGAAGGGACGGCUAACUCUGUGCCAGCAGCCGCGGUAAUACGAAGGUGGCAAGCGUUGUUCGGAUUUACUGGGCGUACAGGGAGCGUAGGCGGUUCGGUAAGCCCUCUGUGAAAUCUCCAGGCUUAACCUGGAACAGUCGGAGGGGACUGCCGGGCUAGAGGACGGGAGAGGAGCGCGGAAUUCCCGGUGUAGCGGUGAAAUGCGUAGAGAUCGGGAGGAAGGCCGGUGGCGAAGGCGGCGCUCUGGAACGUUUCUGACGCUGAGGCUCGAAAGCGUGGGGAGCAAACAGGAUUAGAUACCCUGNUANUC